AAAUCCGUCCGGGGGGUCUAAGGGAUGUCGGGCCUGCCAUCCGUGGGCCGGUAGCUCAGCCUGGGAGAGCGUCGGCUUUGCAAGCCGAAGGCCCCGGGUUCGAAUCCCGGCCGGUCCACCACGAAGAGGGUGCACAUCCCGAGCACGGCUCGGGGUGGAAGGGUCCUAGGCCCCGAACAGGGG
rnacentral:tRNA from 1 species